rnacentral:rRNA from 1 species
CAAUCAAACCGGGAGAUAGCUGGUUCUCCCCGAAAGCUAUUUAGGUAGCGCCUCGUGAAUUCAUCUCCGGGGGUAGAGCACUGUUUCGGCUAGGGGGCCAUCCCGGCUUACCAACCCGAUGCAAACUGCGAAUACCGGAGAAUGUUAUCACGGGAGACACACGGCGGGUGCUAACGUCCGUCGUGAAGAGGGAAACAACCCAGACCGCCAGCUAAGGUCCCAAAGUCAUGGUUAAGUGGGAAACGAUGUGGGAAGGCCCAGACAGCCAGGAUGUUGGCUUAGAAGCAGCCAUCAUUUAAAGAAAGCGUAAUAGCUCACUGGUCGAGUCGGCCUGCGCGGAAGAUGUAACGGGGCUAAACCAUGCACCGAAGCUGCGGCAGCGAACGUAUCACCCAAGACAACUUUACGGAGUUGACGAUUGACGGAGCGAAGCGACGUCAAAGCGUUCAUUAAAGUCGAGUUGGCUUAGGGAUACGUUCGUUGGGUAGGGGAGCGUUCUGUAAGCCUGUGAAGGUGUGUCGUGAGGCAUGCUGGAG